GUCGAGCGGCGGACGGGUGAGUAACACGUGAGAAUCUGCCCAUUAGUGGGGGAUAACCUGGGGAAACCCAGGCUAAUACCGCAUAAUCCCUACGGGGGAAAGCAGGGGACCUUCGGGCCUUGUGCUGAUGGAUGAGCUCGCGUCGGAUUAGCUUGUUGGUGAGGUAAUGGCUCACCAAGGCGACGAUCCGUAGCUGGUCUUAGAGGAUGAUCAGCCACACCGGGACUGAGACACGGCCCGGACUCCUACGGGAGGCAGCAGUGGGGAAUCUUGGACAAUGGGGGCAACCCUGAUCCAGCCAUGCCGCGUGUGUGAAGAAGGCCUUCGGGUUGUAAAGCACUUUCAGUAGGGAGGAAGGCUUAUCCUUAAUACGGAUGAGUACUUGACGUUACCUACAGAAGAAGCACCGGCUAAUUUCGUGCCAGCAGCCGCGGUAAUACGAAAGGUGCGAGCGUUAAUCGGAAUUACUGGGCGUAAAGCGCGCGUAGGCGGUUUGCUAAGUCAGAUGUGAAAGCCCCGGGCUCAACCUGGGAACUGCAUUUGAAACUGGCAGGCUAGAAUGCAGUAGAGGGAGGUGGAAUUUCCGGUGUAGCGGUGAAAUGCGUAGAGAUCGGAAGGAACACCAGUGGCGAAGGCGGCCUCCUGGACUGACAUUGACGCUGAGGUGCGAAAGCGUGGGGAGCAAACAGGAUUAGAUACCCUGGUAGUCCACGCCGUAAACGAUGUCUACUAGUCGUUGGGAAUCUUAGUAUUCUUGGUGACGAAGUUAACGCGAUAAGUAGACCGCCUGGGGGAGUACGGCCGCAAGGUUAAAACUCAAAUGAAUUGACGGGGGCCCGCACAAGCGGUGGAACCAUGGUGGUUUAAUUCGAUGCAACGCGAAGAACCUUACCAGGCCUUGACAUCCUUGGAACUUUCUAGAAGAUAGAUUGGUGCCUUCGGGAGCCAAGUGACAGGUGCUGCAUGGCUGUCGUCAGCUCG
rnacentral:rRNA from 1 species